UAAAUAAUAUCCUAUAUAUAUGCUCAUCAUUAUCUAUAAAGACAUUCUUUUUGUGUUUCUCUGGAACUUGAGUUGUGUGACAAAUGUCUGCAGGAAGCUGAUAAGCGUGCCAAAUUGGAAGCAGAUACCAGCCACUCUGGGGACGAAACUAAAACCUGACCUGAUAAGGAAAACACCCAAAGGCUAAGGGUCAAAGUUUGUGACUCAGGGACAUGGGAACUGCCUUGAGACCUCACGUGCACUACGACAGGAGAUUUCAUUGUAUAGACAAGAUUUAUGAGUGUUCUAGCAGCUGAGUUUUGUGCUUCUCCCAUCCCUUUAUACCAGCUGGUGGCCAAUGUAAAUAAGGGCAUCAUGAUGCAAAUAAAGGAAAAGAAGCAAGAGAGGUUUUUCAGAGCAAGUUUGGAGACU